CAGAGUACGGUGCCCUCGGGCGCCCACUCCAACCCUUUGUCUACCGAAAGUCGUUGCCUUGGCGGGCCGGCGUCACACACGCCACCGGUUCACGCCGGCCAGUGCCCGCCAGAGGAACCACAAACUCUGUUCACGGUGUCGUCCGAGUAAAUAUACAAAUAAAUCA
rnacentral:misc_RNA from 1 species